rnacentral:rRNA from 1 species
UCUGCCUCUAGGCCGAGUUGUAAUUUGUAGAAGAUGCUUCGGGUGUGGCACUGGUCUAAGUUCCUUGGANCAGGACGUCAUAGAGGGUGAGAAUCCCGUACGUGACUGGCUGCCUUCGCCUAUGUGAAGCUCUUUCGACGAGUCGAGUUGUUUGGGAAUGCGGCUCAAAAUGGGUGGUAUAUUUCAUCUAAAGCUAAAUAUUGGCCAGAGACCGAUAGCGCACAAGUAGAGUGAUCGAAAGAUGAAAAGCACUUUGGAAAGAGAGUUAAACAGUACGUGAAAUUGUUGAAAGGGAAGCGCUUGCAAUCAGACUUGCGCGCCGUCGAUCAUCCGAGGUUUUCCCCGGUGCACUCGGCGGUGCUCAGGCCAGCAUCGGUUUCGGUGGUUAGAUAAAGGCCUUGGGAAUGUAGCUCCCCCGGGAGUGUUAUAGCCCUCGGUGCAAUGUAGCCUAUCGGGACCGAGGACCGCGCUUCGGCUAGGAUGCUGGCGUAAUGGUUGUAAGCGACC